rnacentral:rRNA from 1 species
GAUGAACGCUGGCGGCGUGCCUAAUACAUGCAAGUCGAGCGAACAGACGAGGAGCUUGCUCCUCUGACGUUAGCGGCGGACGGGUGAGUAACACGUGGAUAACCUACCUAUAAGACUGGGAUAAAUUCGGGAAACCGGAGCUAAUACCGGAUAAUAUAUUGAACCGCAUGGUUCAAUAGUGAAAGACGGUUUUGCUGUCACUUAUAGAUGGAUCCGCGCCGCAUUAGCUAGUUGGUAAGGUAACGGCUUACCAAGGCAACGAUGCGUAGCCGACCUGUGAGGGUGAUAGGCCACACUUGAACUGAGACACGGUCCAGGCUCCUACGGGAGGCAGCAGUAGGGAAUCUUCCGCAAUGGUCGAAAGCCUGACGGAGCAACGCCGCGUGAGUGAUGAAGGUCUUCGGAUCGUAAAACUCUGUUAUUAGGGAAGAACAAAUGUGUAAGUAACUAUGCACGUCUUGACGGUACCUAAUCAGAAAGCCACGGCUAACUACGUG